CUUUCCUACGCUAAAAACCACUGAGUGGAGUAUUUAGUACACAGGAAGUCGGCCAGAGAAACAUUUCUCAUAUUUGAAGGCCGGAAAGAGGGACAUUUCUGACACCGGAAGUCAGUGAGAGGACUCUUUCCCACACAGGAAGUCAGCUAGAGAGCCGUCUCCCCUCUCUGGAGCCGAGAGAGGCCGGUUUCCCCCACCGUAGCCCACCUGGGAGGAAUUUUCCAGAGAUCACUGUCUGAUGACCCUGUCUUGGAAUUGGAGCCAUGCAAGUUACACUGACCACGUUUGGGUUGGGAUAUUGAGGAGGUUAUGGUUAAAAGCAUACGAUGGGAGAUCAUAUUGUACUUGCGAGUGAGACCCGGCUGGAGGAAUGUUUUAAUUCUUCGGAAAUACCAAGUGGUCUCUACAGAACACUGAAGAUUCUGCUCUCAGGGUGUUGAUUGACGUCUGGAAGGCAGAGACUCGUGGAUUAGCAAGCAUGUGUAAGAAAGUGCUCUGGAUGCCACAGGGUGGUAAUUUGUGCAUGGAAAAUGGCUGGGGUGAAGAGGAGACUAGGCUUUAUCUUGUCAGGUGGUCUCUGUGGUUCCAGUACCCAUGAGGGAGCUGAGUCUGAAGGACCUUGGAGCUUUGCAGAUAUAAAGAAAAAGCUGAUUUAAGCUUCCCCAGUUUUCCCUGCCCCCUUCAUGAAAGAAUUACAGCAUAUAAUAAGAAAAAUCUGGAGAAACACUUAUUUUUAUGGAGGGCUGGAGGACCCCAAGGUCAAACAGUGAAUGGGACUGAACAAAAGGUAAGGAUGUGACUCACCCAUUCAGUAAAACUUGUUGAUGCCACAGUGAAAUUUCCCGCCUAGUGCACUAGCUAGAAAUGCAAAAGGCACUCACCGUGGAGUGUAAUAAGUGGGGGUUAAACACAUGCUAUGGAGGAGAACAGAAGGGGAACCCACACUGGUGACACCAGGCAUGGCUUCCUGAAGAAAGUGGCCUCUAAGCUGAUACUUGUAGGAUGUGGAGGAGCUAGCCAGGAGAGUGGGCAAUGGAGUUGAAAGAAACUUCUUGUCAGAGGGGAAAAGCAUGUGCAAAGGUCCUGAGGUGAGAGAGAGCAUGUCCACUCAGGGAAGUGAAGGAAGUCCAGUCUGGUGAGAGUGUUAAGUCUGAGAGAAAGACUAGAUAGAACGAGGCUCGGAGGUCUCCUAAUUUUCAUCCCCUGAACUUUAUGCAGUUGUAAUUUUAAGGUCAUUUGUGACAUUAUUCAGUGUUUCCCUCACUGAAUUGUGAGCUCAUAAGGGCAGUAGUUGUGUCUGUCUUGGUCAAAGCUGAAUCCCCAGGACCUAGCAUGGUGCUUAGCAGCUAUAAAUAGUGUUGAAUGAAUGAACGAGUAAGGUUAGAGAGGCAGGCAUGAGCCAGAUCCUGAAUUGAUUUGAAUGCCAUGGUAAAUUGCUGAGCUUCUUUCCACUGUGGGUGGCCGGGAGCUGGACUGGGCUCUAUUUCAGGCUACAAGAGGAUCAAGUAGACAUUUGGUGGUGGAGUGGGGCCAUGAAAAAAAAAAAAAAAAACACUUUGAUAGGACACCCUUAGCAGACAGGGACUAUCACAGGAGUCCUAUAUUUAGAGCUUAAAUAACCAAGAGUGGCUGGCUCUUGCCUGCCGUGGCAUUUACUGAUUAUGGUCACUCCCUGGCUAAAAUUCAGGGCAUGUGCCUGUCUCUGAGGCCCACCAGGUGUCUCUUUCAGCCCUGAUGGGCUGUUUGUUGAGGGUACAGCCUGUGUGUUUCAUCUUGAGCUGUCGUCCACAGUGUCCUAAGGCCACUAGAAGUGCUAACCCAGAGUCCAUUCCAAGUCAUGUCGAAUUUAUCUCUUGGGGUGACUGGGCAGUUGGAGGAAACACCCUGUAUUGUAAUUGGCUUUGGACACUGAGCAUGGUGCCUGGCACAGAGUAGGCACUCAGCAAAUUCUUUCUGAAUUAUGAGUGAAUGCCUGCUAUAAAUGAAUCCUUAGAUAUCAUUAAAUUCCAACAUGCAACGGACAGAUGAGGAAGUCGAGGCCCAGAGAAGAGCCUUGAUCAGGGUCCCACUGCGAAUGGUCAGGGAACACAAGUCUAGAGCCCCUGACCCGUGUCCUUUGUCCUAUUGUGAUUGUAAAUGGUAAAAGUAAAAGUAGAUGGGCAUCUCCUGCCAGUGAGUUCUAUCUAAUCCCUCCCAUUCCAUUUCACCCCCCCAUCCCACCCCCACCUCAUCCCAUCCCAUCUCACCCCAUCUCAUCCCACCCCAUCCAUCCCAUCCCACCCCAUCGCCUCUCAUCUCCUCCCACUCCACCCCUCUCAUCUCCUCCCACUCCACUCUAUCCCAUCCCAUCCCAUCCCAUCCCAUCCCAUCCCAUCCUAUCCCACCCCAUGUUUCUCCACUCUACUUCAUCCCAUGCUGUCCCACCCCUACUUUCAUCUUCACUCCCCUUCCCCUUAUUUCUUCCCUGUUCCUUUCCCUCACAUUUCCCCCAUCCCAUUCCAAACAUUUCCAUCCUUUCCCAUCCCUUUUCCUUCCACUCCAUCCCUUUCCAUCCCAUUCAGUCUCACUCCAUCCUUCCCUUUCCACCUCAACCCUUGACAUCCCUCCCCACCUCAUUUCAUCCUAUCCCAUGCCUUCUCAUCCCACCCCCUCUCAUCCCAGCCCUCCCCUUCCCACCCCACCCCAUCCCAUCCCACCCCAUAUCCUUUCAAUCCUGCAACUAUCCCAUUCCACACCAUCUCACCCCACUCCAUUCUUUUCUGCUUCGCUCUACUCCAUUCCAUUCCAUUUCACUCCACUUUAUUCCACCCUUCCCAUUUCAUCUUAUUCUAUUGUAUUAUAUUUUUUGUACCAUCUCGUUCCAUUUGAAUCCACUCCAUUCCAUUCUACUCCAUUGCAUUUUAUUCCAUACAUUCCAUCAUUUCCACUUCAUCCCUUCCAUUCUACCACAAUCAAUGUCAUCCCUAUUCAUCCCAUUCAUAUCUUUCAUGCUUAGAAGUAUUUACCGUGUGCCUCCAAGAUGCCAAACCCUGAAUUUCUCAGGAUGAAAAGCAGGCUUUGAUUUUGGAGACAAAGAACACGUUGCUUGACAAGGUGUCUGAUCCAUCUCUCUGCUGCAUCCUUCAGCUUAGCCUGUCAAUAAACCCAGGAGCAAAAGGAUCUUAUGAUUGUCCAUUCACUGAUAAGCAGAACUUUGGUUCCCAUUUGGGUAUAAUUUUGGGGUUGUAUUGCAGGGAGUCUCAGCAGAAGAGUGAGUGGGUAGUCAUCAAAUCCUUUCCUAAACUUUAUCCCUCAUUCUUGAGGAAUGCUCAGGCCAGUUUCUCACUUGCAUUCCUGUUCUCCUGUGGGGAUGGGGAGCUUUCCAGAUCCUAGAGUCUCAGGAGGGACCCAGAUGGUCUGCUGAGCUGUGUGUGAUUUCCUCCCCUAAUGGCCUUUGCCCAACCCCGGUUGGGUUUCUUCUCCCCACAGGCUGCCCUUUUCCCUCCAUCCCACUUUUCCUGCAGCACAUUCUCUGCCUGGAAGCUUGUUGGCCAUGCUCAGAUGGGAUUCCCUCACACGUGCACCCAAUCCAUCCUCAAGUCCACUCUGCCUCAUUAAAGGCUGGGUAUUUACAUGAGCUGCUGCUGUGUUUCUAGCACGCCCCCUGUGCUUGGACCCCAAGCUCGUCCGGAAGACCCCCUAAGAUGCAGUGGCUCUCUGCCUUCUCUUGGCUGCCCCCUCUUCCCCAGCCUUCCCCAGGUCGUCUCCUGCUUGCCCUUGAGUCUCCUGGGCUUGGGAAGGGGAAAGCACCUGGCACAUAAUUGCUGCUUAAUAAACGAAUCCAUCCUCAUUAGGGCUUGAUUGGUCAUUAGCCUCAUUAUCCAGCAGCAGAGGGCUGGGGAAGUUUUCAGAAUGCCGGUGCAGAGGGAGACCAGUCGGGGCGUGGACUCUAAUCUCUAUUUUGUGGACAGGACAACAUCCAGAGGUGUCCAGAAAGAAGGUGGCCUUGACCAGAAUUCCUCAGCCUUGGCUGCACAUGAGAACCAGUGAGGGAGCCCUAAAAACGCUGAUGCCCAGGCUCCACCCAGACCUAUAGGUGCAGAACCUCUAGGGGAGGGCCCAGCCAUCGCGCUUUGAAAAAUCUCCUCAGGUCUCACAUGAGUACUUCACAAUGGGGAAACUGAACUGGAACUCUACUGACAACGCAGUUGGGCAAGUAUAGUUUCCAGGCUCUAUCUAGCCUCAUGAUACAGGGGAGUAUGUGGCAGGAAGCAGCAAUGGCACUGAGAUGCCAACAGUCCAGCUCCCUGUGCAGGGUCACCCCACCUCCCCAGAGGUUUUCUAACUGUGCUUGGGGUCCCCAAGGAAUGUAAGGAACUACAAGAGGCCAACAAUGAGGUGCACAGAAUUUCAUGUUCACUUCCUACUUUCAACAUGAUCAGCUCAACCCAUUGUACUUAUUGGAUUUUAUUUGAAAAAAAUUUCACACACAAAGUUUGACUGUCAUUAGAUCACAGCACACUGGCUGAAGAGUGUUAAAGAAAAAAUUAUUCUGACAUAUGUGAAAACAGGAAGACUUUAUUUAGGACUAUCUUGUUGGGUAUCAAGAUGAUUGCAAUAGGCGAGAGAGAUCAGGUUCAACUUCAAAUGCAACAACUGAAGAUAUAUGAUCAAGGGUGGCGGGUUAGGGAAAGGGUAAGUGGAUGGAAAAUUACUAAGAGGGGAGAUCAAAUGGAGGAAUUCUUGCCGAAGACAGUCCAAGGUGAACAGAUAUCACCUGGGGGACAGUGGAAAGAUGAGGGAUUUGACCAGAUAUGAAUGAUGAGCAGACAGCGGGGUGGGGGAUGGUUCUCCCUAAACCAACUUAGCAGGAUUCUUACUACAACUGGGCUAUGUAGGCUCAGCAAAGGCAGGUGCCAGGGUCAAGGCUUAGCCAAGAAGAGGGUUCAGAGGGGCCUGACUGGAGCUUGGUUAAGGAGAGAAUCUUUGUCAAGGGACAAGUGUAGCUUCAUAAAAGGACAACAUGGAUUCCCCAGUCGGUUUAUAUGAACCAAAGGGAGGCACAGACCAUCUUGCCUUGUCUUCUCCAUCAUUUAGGAUCCCAAGCACAAAUCUUGCUUCUCUUCCAGCUUGCAGUCCUCAUGCAAAUAGAUGCCCGAGGGUAGAGCAGGCCUAACAUGCCAAAUUUCCACUCUUAGGCUCUGCUGAGAUCUACAGUCCUGUGGGAUUUCUUUUUUUUAAAUGAUUCUAUGGUUUUUAGUAUUCUUUGAUUCUUUAGCACUAUAUCCUCAACUUCUAUAGCUCUUCGAUUUUGCAUUUCUUUGAUUCUGAGAUAUGAUUAUCUGGGGACAUGGACUCUCUGGCUCAAUUAUUUCAAGAAAUAAUCUUUAUUCUUUUUUCUGGAUUAAUGUUUGAUUAAUGUGUCUAAGCUCCUCCUGUGAGACAAUGGUUCAUACCAGGGUGGGACAUCAGCAGGAGCAAGGGGGAUGGUGGGGGUGCCGCUGACUAAAAAGGUCUCAUAUAUUGGCUGUGUCCAAGGUCAAAACCAAAACCCGAGCAACCACACCUGGUAUCAGGCAUUAGGGGUCAGUAUGUGACCAGGAGAGCCAGAGGGUGCCAGGUGAUUAAAAGUCGGUGUAUGGAGGAUGGAGUGGGAGAUGAAGGGCAAUGAAUGAAAAUGAAGCAAACAUCAUAUGUUUGAUAUGGUGAAAAGGAUGCUAAAAUUCCUCCCAUUGAGUUUGGGCAAAUCCUAUGGUUCUCUGUGAUAAGCCCUUUCUAUCCCCUUUCCCUACCAAAUCUUCCUGCUACAUUACACUCUGCUCCCUACCAGGGAGCUAAAUAGCAACCUGUGUAUUUCAUCUAGGUCGGUUACUUAACAAUCCUAAGGAAACUAUUUGAAUUUAAAUGACUGCCUUCUAGACACAACACAACAAUGAUAGCAAUAAAAAUAAUGACUUGUAAAUUAGUCAGCAUCAGCUGGGCUGCUGUAACAAACAACCCCAAAUCUCAUAAACAAACGUUAGUUUUCACCCCUCUGAAGUCCACUGUGGGCCUAGGCAGCUAUGGUCCAUGUGGUGACUCAGUGAUCCAGGCUUUUAAAAUUGUGUGCUUCUGCACUGCAAUUUGAGGACGCCUCAUUUGCUGUGUCAGGGGAGGAGAGAGAUUGGAAAACCUCAUGGGGACUGUACACUUCCUUGGCCUGAAGCGAUGCUCAUCACUUCCAUUCACAAAGCCAGUCAUAUGCCCCUUUAGCUGGAAGAGGGUAGGGAAAGCUAGUUUUCUGUGCAUCCAGGAAGGAUGAAUAUAAAACAGCAUUUAGUGAACACGUAAUUUUCUCUGUGUUGCAACGACCACUUCUUUUUAAAUAGGUACCACAAGACAAUUACUCUGCAGCGAUUUAUUUAAAUCAUCUCAAAGAUCCUUACAGGUGAGGAAACUGAGGCUUGGAGAAGUUGAAUGACUUGCCUAAAGUCACACAUAUAAUGGUAGAUCCAGAAUUAGAAGCCGUGGUUCUGUUUCACCAUAACCUGUGCCCCUCACUGUUCAGAUGAUGGAUCCUCAGACUCCGGGGGAGCUGUGGGGUAACUCCCUCCACCCUUCAGCUACAGCCUGGAAACCAUUGCCUUUUCUGCUCAUUGCAGCCAGGCCUGGAUCCAUGUGAGGAAACACACCUGCUGCCUCGGGAAUCCCAUACCAGUGAUGUGACACUCACAAAAGGCGAUCAAUGGUUCCUGACAAUUUUUUCUUUUCAUUUAGGCAAAAAAUAUGGAAAGCAUAUUUGAUCUUUGAUUUUCUUCCAUUUCCCAUCUGUUCUUUAUUAGGAGUUCAAACUUAAUAACCUUCCAGAGUUGGUAUCAAAUUCAGACGCUGACGCUCCUUGGAGAGGUUCUUUGCUGCAAGAGGAUGGAAAGGAUCACUGUGAUUUUGUUUUUCUCCUGCUGCUCUGUCUGGAAGCCAUGUGAGGAGGACAUCUGAGCAGCCCUGUGGAGAGGCCCCCAGCCAACAGCCAGCAUGAACUUGCUGGGCAUGUGAGUGCACCACCUUGAAAGUAGAGCCUCAACCCCUGGUCAAGCCAUCAGGUAAGAUUGCAGCCCUGGCUUAUAUCUGACCACAACCUCAUGAGCAACCCAGAUCCAGGCCACCCAUGUAAGCUGCUUGUGAAUUCCUCACCCACAAAAAUCAUGUGACAUAAUUAAUGUUCAUUGUCACUUUAAGAUGCUAAAGUUUGGGGUAAUUUGUUAGGUAGCAACUGAUAACAAUGCAACUGAUAAACAAUCAAGUCGGCAUACUGCAAUCCCCCCAGAAUUUGGACAUAGCCCUGGAGAAAGUGGGUAGGCGUCCCUAAAUGAACUAUGAUUCUAUUUUUGCCACCUGGAAGAACACAGGCUGUAAUAGAAAUUAUACUCAGUUACAGAACAGUAAAGUUAAAUUUCUAGAUUGCCUGAGUUUCUAGACUAGCUGAAAUAUUACAACUCAUUUCAAGGAGCUUCCAAAUAUAUUUUCAGAGCUCUGGAAGUCUGGGGAACGCAGGACAAGAGCCACUAGAUUUUGGGAACAAGAGUGCUCUUCUCCCCAAGUGGGCAAAAAGGGAGCCGGAAGAUAUACGCUUCUCCAAUUUCAGAAUUUGGGGGGACCACUCAGCUUGUGCCUGUACCUUCUCCGGGCUCCCUUUUGUUCCUCAUUGCACCCCCUUCUGUGAGCAUGCACAAACUCAGCUUGAUGCCCAAGCCCUUCAAUUUGUCUUGUUAGAAAACCCUGUGUUAAAGAGACCAUUAAAACAAGAGGGAAAGAUAAAUUGCCUGAAGCUGCAAGACUCAGGAGGCAAGGGAGAGCAGGUGAUGGAAAACAGGCCUGUGAUUAGAGGGCAGGGGGUGGCACAGGAGCCAGAGCAGGCAAAAACAUCCACUGGAGAUGUCAAAAUAUUUGAAAAUCCUCUUCCUUUGGUGAAUUGAGUUACCAAAAUGUAUUUUUUUUUUUUUUUUGCAUGCGGAGAAGAGUCUGAGAUAGAGGUUAAGAAUAUAGUUUCCAGAGUGAGGCAGAACUAGGCUCUGUCCCUUCCCAGCUGCUGUCAGACCUCAGGCAAAUCUCUGAACCUCUCUGACCCUCGGUUUCCUCAUCUAGCAAGAGGGGACAAUGUAAGCCUGUAAAAAAUGGCCCGAAGUCUUCACCUUUCUUUGUGUAUGUGUCUUUUGCAAUGUGACUUUCUAGCUCUUCCUGUGAUGAGACGGAGUCCAUUUCCCCACCCCUUGAUGCUGGGAUGGUCUCGUGACUUAUUUUGGCCAUAAAAUGGGGCAGAAGUGAUAAUACAUCAGUCUUGAGCCUAGGUCUCAGGAGGCCUUGUGCACUCUGUUCUCUCUGACCCUGUGAUUCCCCAUAGGGAGAGCUCAAGCUGGCCUGUUGGAAGAUGACAGGCCAUAUGCAACAGACGUGAAGUGUCCCAGCUGAUCCCCUUCCAGAACACCCACCUUCCAGAUGACCACAGAUGCAAGGGUGAGCCAGCCAAUAGCUGCUGAGACAUUCCCAGAAAGACAGAACAUCCAGCUGACCCAUGGACUCAUGGGCGAUCAUGGAUAAAUGGAUAUUGUUUCAAGCUACUAGGUUUGGGGUUGGUUUGUUACGCAGCAAUAGCUAACAGCUACACCUCUAUUUUAAGGAGUUGUGAAGAUAAAUUGCAAAGGUACAGAAAAAUGAAUAGCUAUAACAGCUACUAGUGAUUGAGUGCUGGCUCUGCCUGGUACUGUGCUCAGGAUUGGCAUGCAUUAUCUCAAAGAGUUGCACAGGCUAGAAGGGCUGCAGCUGAAGAUUCUAGAAGAGUUCAGGUAUAAUGCCUGGCACAUGGUACCUGUUUCAUGUAUGCUAGUUGUUGGAUGCUGCUGAUGCUGGCAGCACGUGGAACUCCUGACACAUGCCUCUGAUUUGGUAGUGGGGUCUGAACUUUGUAAUCUGUGUGUCCAGAGACCUUGGGAAGUCUUCAGCCAAGGGCAGACCAGGAGGUAGCUUUUGUGAUCUGAGUGCAGAGAAGUUUCUUAGAGUGAAUGGCAUCCAGAUAGGGUGGGGAAAAAGCAUUAGCCAGGGUGCUCCACACACUCCCCUCACUAGUGUGGUCCCUGGACCAGCAGCCUCAGCCUCCCCUGGGCCCUUAUUAGAAAUGCAGAAUCUCAGGUCCUACCCCUGCUUACUGAAUCAGUAAGAGCAUUUUAACAAGAUCCCCAGGGGAUUUGUGUGCAUGUUAGAGUUUGUCCAGAACACUCUUCUCAAGCUAUCUGUGCUGAGACACCAGUAUUUUUUUCAAAUUCCAAUUUAUUGCAGAAUGACAGUUUUAAAAAAUGCAGUAAAAAAGCAAAUUCCUAGAAAAAUUAAAUGAAAAAUAAAAUAUACAAAAUCUAAGCCCUUUUUUCAUUAUUAUAUUCAAUGAUACAAAAUUGCCAUCUGCCAAAUUGCUACAAAACUUUCUGAAUACUUUUCUUUCUCUGUACGUAUUCUUUGUGGGUACCUUACUGUGGACAGGUAACAAACGACUUGCCAUGUGGCAUGGGCUAUGGACUGCCCGACAAGUAGCACCAUCUUAGAGUUACCAAUGAUAAUGAUACUAAUACAAUAUGACCACACAUGAUUGUGUGCUUGAUAUCAGCUCAUAAUAAGGGCUUACAAGCUUAAAUACCUGGAAAUCCUCUCAGCAAACUGUGGGGCAACUAAUGUAUUUAUCUCCAUUUUGUAGAUUAGGUCAUCGAGGCCCAGAGAGGUUAAGCAACUUGCCCAUGGUCACACAGCAUACAAGUGGAGCACCCUGAGCCCACCUGUUUGACCACUACAAGGCAGAGGGAGGGAGAGGAAGGCACCACCAGUGAGAGGCACAAGGACAUUGUCCAUUGUCUCUUGUACCCUAUGUGAGUGACAGCUGUCAAAAAACCAGGUGUGGGGCCCUGGCUGUCUCUGUAACCGCAUUGCAGUGGAGGCUGGAGCCCAGCAAACUCUUUACCAGCCCCAGGCUAGGGCUAGGAGGAUCACCCUCGCACCUCACUCUUUGGUGCAGCCUGCAGGAAAGGAAGCCCUCUGUGAAGUGUAUCACCCCAGCCUGCCGCGUUGCCAGAGGUGAGGGGAAAAGGGCGCCUGCCGAUCGCCUUCUCCCUCUUGCUAUCUCUUUUUCCUGAAGUCAUAGGAGCCAGGCAGGAGGCUGGGGGUCUGGCAGGCUGGGUGAUAGCUAGUUAUCGACAGGUUGAUGGCUGCCCCAGAAGACUGCCCGAGGACAUCAAGGCGGAAGCCACUUCUGAGGCCCGCUGCUCCCAGAGAGCCGGCUGCCGGCAUCUCUGCCCAGGGCUUGGCGCUUCCCCUCACCAUCUCAUUAAUCCUGAUUCACAGAAAAAGGCAGCAGGCAGGGGCCCUCUUAACAGGCCGAGCGGGCGACUGAUUUGCCUUCACUGAAGACAAUAGUGCCCAGGAGACCCGGCAUUGCUGAAUUAUUCAAAUCAGCCGUGGCAGGGAAAUCUGAGGACACAGAGUGGCUGACAUCCCCCGGCCCUUGCAAGCUGCCCUCCUUCCCUGCCCUGGGGUGCUGGUACCUGGCAGCCUGGGGUGGCCAGCACAGAUCCCCUUGCCAGAGAUGAGGGCUGCUCCCGACCUUCCCUCCUCCGUGGAUGGAAGUUGAAAUUGGUGUUGAUCAUCUCUAAGCACCUUGGAGCUCUAGUAAUGGAUCCAAAAUGACAUUUCCCACCUGCUGAUCCCUGGAGGGACAUUCUGACAAGGACUUCUGGAUGAACAAGUGAUGGGGCAUGGGAAGAUGAAGGCAGCAGGAGAUGGCUGUUCUGCCAAGGUGUGUGUGUGUGUGCGUGUGUGUGUGCAUGAUUCAAAAAAAGCAGAGGAUAUCGGUUGAACCCUGGCUUGGCCAACCUUAGUUUUCUGCUCCUAGAAAAGAAACACAAUGAAUAGGCAGGUAUCCCUGGCAAAUGUGGAGAUUCAGGAGCAAAACCACCCAGAGUCGGUGCUGACGCUGGGUGAAGACAGAGCAAACAGAAGUUUGAGAGGUCACGUGCAACAGACGUGAGCCCAGCAUGGUGGUCUCCCAGUGGGGAGGGAGUCUUGGAGAGUAUGAAGGGUAAACUGAGACCCAGAGAGGGGCAGGGACUUGCCCAAAGUUGUUAAGCAGUUUGUGGCCAAAAUGGAAUGAAAAGCCAUGGUGUUCAGCUUGCAGUUGGAGGCUCUCUUUGUUAAUAAUACCUAUCCCUGCCCAAGCACAGACACCUGAAGGCUUUUUAAUAUAUUUCAUUGCUAACUGUAUGAUAAUCUCAUGAGGCUGAUACAACUAAUAUUCCCAUUCUACUAAUGAGGAAAUUGAGGCUUGCAGAGAUUCAGCCACUGGACAGGGUAGAAAGUGACAAUCUGGGAUUGGAAAGGUGGUCUGUCUUAUGCUGAACCCUUAAUUGCUGUGACUCAGUGGGAGGUCAGAGGCACCAGGACUCCAGAUCGCUCCAAAACAUCCCUCCUGGCCAAGGCUAUAGUGUCAGCAUGACCUCAGUUUGUGAUGGCUUCCUGGGGGUAAGCAUUGCCACUUACUUGUGUCCUCCAUGGGAAGGAGCACACAGAGUUUUAGCCCUUCGCAGAAAGACUGACUUCAAAGCACCCUCAGCCAUCCCAGGCAUCUGAAAGGAGACCCCUGAGGAGGGGACCUCGAAUGUUGGAAGGAAAUUUAUGAAUGAAGAGGUUCGGAAUCUCUGGGCACAAGAUCCACCUCUUUGGGGGAAGCCAGUGGCGUCUUCUGUGUAAAGCUGCCAUUGGCAGGACAACUUUCUCUAGGAGAGGCAGAAGCUGGGGGUGGUGGUGGGGUUAAACCAACCUUGCACAUUGGUGGGAGGGGGCAUGGGGUCAGUGUGUGAAUAACAGCCUCUGCUUUUCUGCAUCAGCCAAACAACAAUAGAGUGGGAAUGGCAACCUGUAUUGAGGGUUCACCAUGUGCUAAGCCCUUUCUUUAUGUGUAGAAGCUCAUUUAGUCCUCAAGACCAUUUUAUGGGGUCAGUAUCUAUGAGGUCAGCAUCGUUAUGUCCUUUUUGCAAAGGAAGAAAAUGAGACGCAGAAAAGAAGACAUUUAAGCCAUUUACCCAGGACGCUGCUGCUGGGGUGAGUGUAAAGGAGCUGGGAUUUGAAAUCCAGGCUUCAUAAACCACGUGGCCUCUAGGAUAUUGUGGCUAGGAUUCCCUUCUCUGUUCAACUUGAAGUCCCUCUCGGCAGAGUGGUGUCCUUUUUCUCUGCCCAUAGUGGCCCAUUCCCGGGGUUGUGAUCCAUGCACGGGCAUCCCCAGAAGGAGGCUUAGAAGCUCCUUGAAGCAGCUUAAAUGCACCUUUGCCGUUGUGCCUCUACAUGCCCUCUUCCUUUUCUGAGAACAACCAACUUCCUCAGGCCUUCGAAUCAUCUCUCAUUUGGAAUAAUCACUGUCUGAAUGGACGAGGUCUCCAGCAUUUGUGUGGUGCGGCGCGGGCCUCCCAGGAUCCUCCCUGCAGAAAAACGAAACGAAGAGAGAUUUAUCUCCUGGGUCAGAUAAAGGUGACUAAAUGCAAACUGGCCGAUUCCUUUCGGCAAACAGUUCCCUGGGGAGGGCUCCUACAAGGAGGAGAAGAGCCAAUCGAUCCCGGAAAUGCUUCGAGGUGACUUACAGGGAAGACUUAAAGGAAAAAGCCCUCGUGUCUUUACAGCCUCCGGCGACUCUUUCAGCCUUGUAAAACUGCCCGUACCAGCCCAUAGAGCGAGGAAGGAGGGGGUCGGGGGAGCUUCUUCCUUACCAUUGCUGCAAAGGUGGAACUCUGCAAAAUUUGACCUCUGAGAUCUCUAGCUGAGUCCUUCAUUCAUCUGUCAAGCAUCUAUUGAGUGCCUACUGUGUGCCUGCUGUGCACUUCGUAUGCUCUAUCCUGCUGAGUCCUCCAGAUGACACCAUCAUUACCCCCAUUUUCUAGCAGAGAAACUGAGGGUAUCUGAAGGGAGGCAAACGUUUCUGGAGUCCUAAAGCAAGCAAGAGGGUAGGUCCUGAGAUACGGAUUUGCAUUCACCAGCCUCCCUGGUUUGGUUUCCUUCCUGCAUCACUCCCUCUGUCAUCAGAUCUGGUUCUCACCCAGCUUCAUCUCCAAGUCUGGCUCAGGCUUGUUCUUCUCUAUCUCUCUUCCUUUCUCCUUUCUGCUCUUAGACUCAUAAGAAACCUUCCUUAUAAUCUGAGGAAACAGCCUGUGCAUCUUGGAGACUGAGUUUCUUUUGGGAUCCCCAGGUUCACACCAGCCUUUUCUCCCAUAGUCAUCCCGCCCUCAUUUCAUUAAGGUACCAGUAGCACCAGCUGGGAAGGGUAACUUGGCUUGCGGUCUGCAAACUUAUUCUGGCCCUGCAAAAGGCCAAAUAGUAAAUACUUUAAGUUUUGUGGUGCAUUGCGCUAUUGGGGUGCCAAGACAAUAUGUAAAUGAAUGGGCAUAGCUGUGUUCCAAUAAAACUUUAUUUACAAACACAGGUGGUUGGCGAGAUUUGGCCCAUAGGUUGUCAUUUGUUGAUCCUUGGGAUAGAGGAUAAAAGAUCUGGUUUUGGGGUUUGCAGACCUGAGGUCUCCCCGCAGCCCACUUUUUUUUUUUUUUUACUUCCUUGCUGUGUUACCUUGGGCAAGUUGGUGCAGCUCUCUGAGCCCCGUUUCUUUUCUGUGGAAUGAGAUAAUUAUAGCACCUGCCGCCUGGGCUUUUGCUAAGUUUAAAUGAAACCAUGCAGUGGAUUGCACAUAGUCAGUGAGCAAACUGGUAGCUGUUAUUUUAUGACGAAUGACUUUAAACCUUCUGAGGAAAGCAACCCCCCUUCCCUCAUUUGGGGGUAAGGGAAGCUGAUGUGCCAGUGUUCUGAUAUUUUGUGGUUCAUUAUGCUGUUAAGAUUUCCAUUCUUUUCAAGUUAAUGCACUUGCAUUUUAAUGACUUAGGAUGCAGAAUCUGCCUCCUUUGGGAUGGAACCAGCUGGCUGGCCUUUUGUGAGGGUGAUAGUUGGUAAAACUCUGGACACCCCCAUGAUCCCUUUGAGUCUAACCUCUGGUUCCCUUUCCUGGCUCCAGAAGGACUGACUCAGUGGGUCUAGCAUGACCACCAGUGAUCCUCUGGUUGAGAGCUGAUCACAAGUGGCCAAUUAAUCUAUUACUUGCAGAUACAUUUUCCAUUAGCAGUGGCGGAAUCAAUUAGUCAGCGUAAUGAACUUGAGUCUGGGCAAACAGGAAGGAGAGGUUAACCCCUUGGUUUCCAAAGGAGGCUGGGAUGGCAAGGGAGCGUGGAGAAGAUCUGGAGAGAAAUCGAGAGGCUGGAUAGGGACAGAGGUUUGGGAACCACAGUCAAGCUUCCAGGUAGUAAGAUGAGGUAGGUUGGACCCAAAGAGCUCUAGCUUAGAGCCAGGAAAAAAUGGCUUCUCUAGUCAUGUGGACAUGACAGAGUCAUUUUGAGCUCAGUUUCCUCCUCUGCAAAUGGGGAUCAUAAUUGUACACACCUCAUAGGAUUGUUGUGAGGAACAAAUAAGACAAGUUGUAUGAAAUACAUAGCCCCAUGUUGGGAGCGGAAAUUCUCAGUGAAUGCUAAUCUUUCUGCUACCCCUUUUUUUCUGCCUCACCACAAGCCACGAAGAGGUGAAAAAGAGACUUCUUGACUUAGAGCUAAAAAUAGCAGAAACUUCUUACUAAAAUUACUCUAGCUCAGAUCCACAUUCAAAUGUGUUACAGAGGUCAGGACUCCAACAGGUGCCUUUACUGCAGGCCUUGUCAGGGACUUAAACUUCUGACAUGUAUCGUGACGCUCCACAAAGGAUUGGAGCAAAUUUCCCAGACGUAUUAGAAUGAAACAACAUUCUUUUCCCAUCUCAGAGCAUUGCACAGGACUGUGAGUUUUAUUGUUAAAAUGGUAGGAAACGAUGCAUUCCCCAAAUGCAUCGUUUGGGGACCUCUGGUCCCCAAAGGUGGACCAGAUAGAGUCCACCUUCUCCCAAAGCCCUCCCUGUCUAUGCAAGCAACUUUCUCACUCUUAUCAGUGUUGUUAUAUCACGUUGGUGCAAAAGAAAUUGCAGUUCUUGCCAUUACUUUCCAUGGCAAAAACCGCAAUUACUUUUGCACCAACAUAAUAGACUUGAAUUAGGGUCUAGUUACCUGGUGCAGUAAGACCAGAUAUCCACACGGAGGUCUUGCAGUGGUGGAAAGAAAGGUGUUUAUUUACCAGGUGCCAAGCAAGGAGGACCAGACGGCUAACGCUUAUAUCCUGACCUCCCGAUGGCUUGCAGAGAUUAAAGAGGAUGUGGAGGCUGGGAGGAUCAUCAUGAGGGCCACUUUCUAAGAAUAGCCUCUCUCUCCCUGAAGAUCAAAAGAGGUGACUGCAGCAGGAGAGAGGAAAGUUAGACAGGGGUAAGUACUUUCUGAUGGGAGGACAAAGCCAUCACCAGUGUCCAUCCAUAGAGUUUUUUCAUCUUCCCCAAUGGAUAUUCUAUACCUGUUAAACUCUCACUCCCCAUUUCCCCUGCCCCAGCUCCUAGUAACUUCUAUUCUACUUUCUGUCUCUAUAAAUAUGACUCCUCUAGGGACCUCCUAUAAGUGGAAUCAUGCAAUGCAAAAGUAACUUACUGAGCCUUCUAGUCUGGCGAAGCACCCAGCAUUUUGCCCUGCGUGGAGUCAAUCCGUCAUUUUGUGCCUGAUGUCUCUUACUUGGCAUGAUGUCAUCCAGGUUCACUUGGUUUAGCAUAGGUCGGUACUUUACUCCUUUUUAUGGCAGAGUAAUAUUCCACUGUAUGGAUAAACCACAUUGGGUUUAUCCAUUCAUCCACUGCACAGUGCACUUCUGAGAGAAGACGGGUAGAUGGUGCAAGGUGGGGAAUUAUAUAUUUCUGUUUUGGAAACUUCAGAGUAAGAGAGAGCUUUCCCAUCCAGUCACGUCUCGUGCCUAGUGCUAUGUCCUUUGUGUGCUGGUGACACUAACUUGCUUUACACCUCCAUGCCUUUCCCUAUGCUGUUUCCUGUGCUUGAAGCACCCUUCCCACUGGCCCAUUGUUGGCCUGACAAGUCUCAUGUCGGCUUCAGGGUGAAAACCUCAAUGAAAGUGGAAAUUACAUCUGUUUUAUUCACCUCUGUAUUUCCAGAUCAUUAGAUGCCAUACAUACAGAUAAGCAUGCAUGAGUGAAUAAGUCAUUCCAAGCUACACUCCUCCAGAGGGUCCUCCUUGACUGUACCUCAUGCUAUGGAGCUAAUGCUGGCUGUUUUCGAGUCAGCCACCACACUCAUUGAUUGAUGCUGUGUUUGUCUCUCCUAUUAGACUAUGUGCUCCUUGAGGACAGUGCUUGUGUCUUACUCAUUUUUGUGCCCCUCCCUUGUCCUAUAAUAUACCCAGUGUAGGUAUCUAUUGAAUAAUGCUGAAGGUUGUGCACAGAUGUCAGCUGUUAUUAUCUUCCUUCCCCCUGCCACCCCACCCCAGCUACCUGGCUUCAGGUGGUCUUGUCUUCAUCUCAGCAGGGACUGGGAGCUUAUGCUGUCAGUGACUUGCUGCACAGUGCUAUGAUGUGGAAACCUCCUGCUAUAACUAUCGUAUAACUUCUUACAUCUUUGUGGCACUCAGAUGUUCCUUAGCUUCCUCAAGUCUCCAACAGCCUACUGAUGGUUGACAGAAAAGACUGGCCAGGCGCAGUGGCUCACGCCUAUAAUCCUAGCACUUUGGGAGGCCAAGGUGGGCGGAUCAUGAGGUCAGGAGAUCGAGACCAUCCUGGCUAACAUGGUGAAACCCCGUCUCUACUAAAAAUACAAAAAAUUAGCCGGGCAUGGUGGCGGGUGUCUGUAGUCCCAGCUACUCGGGAGGCUGAGGCAGGAGAAUGGUGUGAACCUGGGAGGCGGAGCUUGCUGUGAGCCGAGAUUGUGCCACUGCACUCCAGCCUGGCAGCAGAGCGAGACUCCGUCUCAAAAAAAAAAAUAAAUAAAAAUUAAAAAGAGAAAAGACUAUGGGGUUCACUUUACAGGGUAGGAAACUGAGACUCAGAGAUGGGAAUGGCUUUGAAGUUUGUUAGUAACAGAUGGUAUGCCAGCACCCAGAUUGCCUACCCCUAGGUCCUGAUUUUCCCCUCUCUUCCAUUCUGGGGGAACUGCAUUUAUAAAAAGUUUAACAUUAGUAGUGAUAAGAACAACAAAAUCAAUAUGACUGGCAGCUAACUUGUUUUGAGCAUCGGUUCUGGUCUGGCACAGUGCUCACCAUUUUACAUAGCAUGGAGUCGGUAUGGGUCAGUUUCCCAAAUGUGCUUUUUUAAAGAACUGGAAACCCAGAGGCAUUUGAAAUAUGUGUCUUUUGAAUCAAAGAAACAUAGAGGAUUUGAAGAUGGAGGAGACCGCAUUUUAUUUUAUGGCCCUGGAUAAAGUCACUACGCCUAUCCCUCUGAGACUCAGUUAUCCCCAUCUGUAAAAUGGGUGGUUGGAUGAAAUGAACACUCGAGGUCUUCUCAGAGCUGACAUUCUACAGAUUCAUCAGUGAGUUUCCUCUGACUCUCCUUGAAUGUGACUUUGUCCAUUCGGAGGGCGGUCCUGGCAUCAGCAAGGGUGACGAUUGUUUCCUUCCUGGAAUCUUUGGAUUGCCAUGAGAGCGAGGAGCCACUCAGCAACAUGAGGAAGCCACAUGUGCCACAUUCUUCAAUGGCAGCAAUUUUCCGUGUAAUUAAGUUUAUUUAUCAUGUAUAUUAAGGGGAAAAUGGAGACGCAUGAUCAUCACAGCCCAUUUGCCAUCGACAUCCAUCUCUCAAGCGUUGCUUCUGUUUUCUCCAAGGCCAACAGCCAUGAUGGAUGUGGGGCCCAGGAGAGCCAUCUGGCACGAGGACUGGUGGGAACCCAGCCCCCUACAGGACCCAGGUCUCACCCCCUGGACAGAUGCUUCUCCCAAAACCGUCCCUGUCCUCAAGGAGCUGAUAACCCAGGAAUCGUGGUUAAUGGUGACAUUGGCUAACACUGGAUGUUGCUUUCCUUUAAACCUGCAGUUAGCUUUCUUCCAGCAGAAUGCUGAGAUAUUACUCCUGUGUUCACAUGUGGAAAUGCAGCAUGGCUGCACCAUUUCACCAUUUCUACCACUCUAAUCAUUGUAGCUUCCUCUUGCUCUCUUUUUAAGCUAAGCCUUAGCCUGGCUUCUUGUACCUAUAGGGAGUUCAAUUCAUUUACCAAUUCACUCAACAAAUAUUUGAGUGCUUCUCUGGUGGAAGACUACCAUUCCAGGCUUUUGGGAUUUAUCAGUGAACGGAAGAAAGACUUUCGGCCUCCUCAAGCUUACUUGGUGAAUAUUUUGGAAUCAAAAAAUGAAUAAAGGAGCAAGAACAUACGAAUCACUUCAGUUAUUCAACAAACAUUGAGUGCUUCCUGUGGACAGCACCUUGCUGAUCACACGUGGCUAAAAUGGGGCCCAAGCAGCUUCUUCUGUUUCCUCAUGGAGCUUACAUGCUAGAGGAGAAGGAAGACGUAAAUCAAAGAAUCACACCAAUGAGUUUCUAAGUACAAAAUGAGAUAAAGCACUAUGAGGGAAAGGGUGUUUUUCAGAGUAUAUGAGAAGUGCGUGUUCUAUACUGGGGGUGGGGAUUCAGGAAAACUUUUGGAGGGAGAGAUACUUAAACUGAAACCUGAGGCAAGGGUUUUCAUCAAGUGAGAGAAGGAAGUGCAGGGGCAUGGGGUAGAGGAAUAGCAUGAGGGCUCUAUCCGUUAGGAUGCCUUAGGCUGUCAGUGUCUGAAGACCUAACUCAAAAUGGUUUAAACCAUAAAGACAAUUUGUUACCAUGUCAUAAGAAGUCAGAAGUAGGUGCCAGGCGCGGUUGCUCACGCCUGUAAUCCCAGCACUUUGGGAGGCUGAGGCGGGCGGAUCAUGAGGUCAGGAGAUCAAGACCAUCCUGGCUAACACGGUGAAACCCAGUCUCUACAAAAAAAUACAAAAACAAAAUUAGCCAGGCGUGGUGGCGGAUGCCUGUAUUCCCAGCUACUCAGGAGGCUGAGGCAGGAGAAUGGCGUGAACUGGGGAGGCAGAGCUUGCAGUGAUCCAAGAUCACACCACUGCACUCCAGCCUGGGUGACAGAGAGAGACUCUGUCUCAGAAAAAAAAAAAAGAAGUAGGGCAGCUAGCUCCAGGGUUGGUUAAUUCAGUGGCUCAAUGACAUCAUCCAAGGUCAAGUUCUUUUCUGCCUUCUUUAGAGUGUGGGACAAAAUACUCAACAUUAUUUCUUCAGGGUCACUGAAUGGCUGCUGGAGUCGGCUCCCACAACAGCAUCUAAACCUAGAAGAGAGACUUCUGCUUCUCAGCCUCCUUUUAAAGAGAGAAGAAGCCUUUCUCAGAAUUCUCCCAGGACAUUUUUCAUUGUCCAGGACUGUGUUGGUUCAUACGAGCCAAUGGGGUUGGGAGGAAGCCUGUUGGGUGGAUGAGAGCAUCCUGGAAUCCAGGAUGACCUAGUCUGGAGCUAAGGAGACGUGGCUUGGAAUCUGAUAUGGUUUGGAUCUGUGUCCCCACCAAAUCUCAUGUCGAAUUGUAAUCACCAGUGUUGGAGGUGGGGCCUGAUGGGAGGUGAUUGGAUCCUGGAGGUUAAUUUCUUAUGAAUGGUUCAGAACCAUCUCCUUGGUGCUGUUCUCGUGAUAGUGAGUUCUCAUGAGAUUUGGUUGUUUAAAAGUGUGUAGCACCUUCCUGCACCUUGCUCCUGUUCCUGCCGUGUUCACACCUCCUCACUCCCCCUUUGCCUUUUGCCAUGAUUGGAAGCUUCCUGAGGCCUCCCCAGAAGCAGAAGCUGCUAUGUUUCCUGUACAGCCUGCAGAACCAUGAGCCAAUUAACCUCUAUUCUUUAUAAACUACCCAGUUUCAGAUAUUUCUUUGUAGCAAUGUGAAAACAGAUUAACACAGAAUCUCAGUUUUGAAGUCAAUUGGCUGUGUGACCUUAGGUAAGUCUCUUUCCCUCACUGGGUCCUAAGCCCCCAAUCUGAAAAACUAGAGGGUUGGAUUAAAUGGUCUGAAGGAUUGUUUUUCCAUGUGUAAGCUUCUAGGAUUCUAAAUGAGCCAUUGCUAGGGUGGGAGUUGGACAUGUUGUUCACCACAUUUUUGUCUUUCUGCCUUCUGGGCACGUGAAGCUUGCAUUUCCUGGCUGUCUUGCAGGUAGGUGGGGUUACGGUAUAGUUCUGGCCAAUGAGUUGAGCACAUGUUCCUGUCCAGGCUGGAGCAUUUGAUUCCAGGUUUGAGACUACAGAUUUCUCUUUCCCUCUGGCUAUGGCUAAUAUUUGAGAUGGUGACUGUGCCCUGUCAACCUGAGGCCCUGAGUGACAGUAAUGAGAGCCUCCCUUUUCCAUGCCAACCCAAUAGGCAUGCAACACAAGCAUGAAAUAAACGUAGGACGAUUUGGGGGUUACUUGUUACAGCAGCAGGAUGGAUCCUAUCCUGAGUGAUACAGUUAUGCUACUAACCAUGUAGCUGACACAAAAGGGGAAUUGACUCUGUGCUCGGCUGGGUGAAGCCCUUCACUUGCUUCUAUUUACCCCUCACAGCAGCCUUGUAGAAUGGGUGCAGUUAGCACCCCUAUUUCAAAAAUGAAGCAACAGAGGGGGAAGGCCAGCAGCUCAAGGUCACACAGCAGGGGAAGAGCAGAGCCAAGGAUUCAAACUCCAGUGAGUCUGACUCUGAAUCAUGAUGAAGCCAUAUCCUGCCUUGAUAACUUGGCAGAGGUUUUGUUCCAGGCUAAAGAAUGAACGAAGAGCUUGAAGAGCUGUGCCUGUGAGCAUGUGUAUGCAUGCAUGUGUGUGUGUGUGUGUGUGUGUGUGUGUGUGUGUGUGUGUGUGUGUGUGUUUAGCUGACUACCACACUUCACUUCAGAGUGAGAGAGGCCUUGGUGGGGGAGAAGGAGGGGCAUUCCCAGUCAGAAGAGAUUCCCAUCCUGCCCCAUCUUUCUCCCUGCAGACACCUCCUCCCCUCCCUGCAGCUUCCUCUGCCCCAAGCUCCCUGCAGGCCCUGAGCCAUCUCUGCCUUCUAUGAGACCUAAUUAAGCCCUGGUGAGGAGGUCGGAAGCAUCAGUUCCUGGCAGGCAGCUCCCUGGAGUGGGGAUAAUGGUGGGUGGCGCAUCCAUGGAUCCUGAGUAGGGUAGCAGAGAUGUCUACUAUAAUCAUAGUGACCAUAACAUCACCCUGCUAGCCUUAGGAAGAGCUGUAACAGUGGCUGCCAUUGUUACGUUUAUCCCCCCACUAGCCUGGCUCAGGGUUGCAAUAAGCAUUUAUGAAGCAUUCCCAGUUGACCAUUAGGAUCUUACUGGAGACAGAAUCCUUUCCUCUCUGCUCCAUCCUCAUCCACUCAUCUCAGUGGGAGUGUUUGAGGGGGGUGCCCCAGCUGGAAGAGCCCCAGACUUGGCCUUCAGUUCAACUCAUUGCCCUGCUUUACAGAAUAGGAGACUGAGGCCUCGGCAGGCCAAGUUCAAGGCUGGCCAGUGGUGGAGCUGGAACCAGAGGAUGUGGUGCAGGGAGGCGAACCCGGGUCCCUCUCCGGGCCCUUUGGGACUGUGGGUCAGUGGAGAUGGGGAGGCUGAGGCUGGAGAGGGCCAGCUCUCCCCAGGGGUCACUCAGGGGCUAUGGCUGGCCCUGGGCUACCAGAGGGUACGGGGUCGUGGAGGGCCAUGGUCCUGCUGAUGAGGCAGCCUUGGUGAGGGGCCAUGGAGCUGAACCCCGAGGCUCUGACUCCCCAACCUGCUUCUGGCAGCCGCCGCCUCAGGGAAAGCAGCCUUAUUAGUGCAGCCGCCUGCAUGGCCGUGGGUGCAGCCAGGGGCGGAAAAGGCCUUAUUUACCCCAGUGCUGGACCCUGUGAGCAGUGGCCACACACACUGCAAGGGGAGCUCGCAGAGCCACAUGUAUGUCUCGGGCCCUGGGUCGACAGAGUGUGCUUAGACAGGCUUGCAUGCUCAGGUAAGCCGGUUGGCCAGGCUUGUAUGCUCAGGUAAGCCGGUGUAUACAGAGACACACACAGGUGUGUGGUGACACACAACUGCAUGGACGUUCCCACAUCCACACAGCACGGGGCACACACAUAUGCAUCUGGGUGUGCAAACACAAGUUCAGACAUGCAUGCACGUGUGUUCCCCUCCUCCACUCACGUCCACACUCAUCUCUCUGCACACAGAGUCACACAACAGGUGCCCACGUACUCAGGAACAUAGAAAUCCACAGAAGCACAAAUAUAGACUUCACAUGCAUGUAUAAGCUCCUGCCUGUUCACCCAGACACAGGCUGGUAAACGUGUACACUGAGAAGACACACACAUGGGCAGGUCUCCAAAUACUACCCCUGCAGCCAGGAGCACACACACCCUGAACACACGCACAUAUUCCCUUGCCCUUUCCAUGGACAAGCACUCCCGAAAAGUAAUCAUUGACAUCGGCACACCGGUGCACACGGUGUGUGGACUCAUCUGUCUCUCUGUCUGUGCUAAGUUCUACUCAUCUUCCUGAGGAACAGCACUUGAUACAUUUUUACGGCACUGUCGCUGAACCCAAACCUCAUUUGAUUCCCCCAGCCUUCCCUGGGCCAGACUUUAUGUAUCUCCGUCUUACAGAUGAUGAGAAAACUGAGCUUCAGAUGGAGCAGGGGACUCCCCAAGACACCCCGAUAGACACAGAUGGCAUGGGCAGUCACAGUCAGAUGUCCUGACUGCAUCCCAGCAGGGGUAGGGUUGUGGGAAAUGGCACACAGGCCUAGGUUUGAAUCCCACUCUGCUGCUUACAGCUGGGCUGGGUGACCUUGGGCAGGUCUCUUUACCUCUCAGAGCCUUGGUCCUCCCGCAUCGAGACACGCAAACACCCACCGCCACUUGGUGGCGUUGUGCGGAAGGUGAAGGGAGAACAAUGCAGAGGACAGGCUCAGAGCAGGGCAUCCUGGAAGGAGUCAGCAGAUUCACCCAUCUUUAUUCUUAUUUCCAUAUUAUUAUUAUUAUUCACAUAGACCAUGUGAUGACAUAGACCAUCAACAGGUCAAGGACGGAGGCCUGUGACAGAUCCUUCUCCGACAGCCCCCCAAGGGAACCAAGUCUGCUGACACCUUGUUCAGGGACCUCUGGCCUCCAGAACUUCAAGACAACAAAUUCCUAUCACUUAACCACCCAGUAUAUUUUGUAUGGCAGCCCUAGCACACUAAUAGAGAUUUUGGUCUAUGACAUUUUUCUCUAUAGCAAAUCCAGUGGGUUACCAGCAAGGUCCAACUAUUUAUCACCCCUCACCCCGGGGCCUGGUGGGUCUCAGGUGAGGGGAGCCUGGCCUUUCUGGGAAGAACAGGACCUGCACCUGCCCGCGAGGAGUCCUGGGGAGCCGGGAUUCCCCAAGCACAGAGCACUGGCGUUGCCGCUGCGGAGACAGCCAGGCCCAUUCUAACAGUGACUUAGGGCUGAUGUAACAACCCUCGUAUUCUUUUAGUGUGGCCUGAAAGGUGCUAUUAAACGGAAUAUUGAGAUAAGGAAGUGGGAGUCGGGAAAGGUUAGAAACUAUUUAUUCAGAUUUUCAUAGGGCACUAAAAUAUCCUCACCCGCUGCUGCUCACGGCCCCUCCCUCCUCCCCAGCCUGGGCUCCCAGCACACAGGAAGCUCUGGGCUGUCACGCUGCCUCUCUGGCUGGCCGACCUCCUGUGGCAGCCUGGACCUGCGAAGAGCCUGGGUUCUGGGCGGGAGGGGAUCUGGGACCGAAUCUUACCCUGGCUUGCCGACCUGCACAUUAACCGAGCUUUGGAGCUUGGGGAAUGGUGGGGAACCAAGGACAGGGUGGGACGGUGCAGGGUGCAUAGCAAGGGGCAAGGAGGACCAGUGCCCCUCCUCUCUCCCCAGAGCCCCCCCCAGGCAGGAGUGGGAGGUUCACAGUGUUGUCUUCCCACUGCACGCCCCUUACAGCCCCCCAGCUCCUCCCUCUCCCAAAGUCAGAAUCCCAGGCUCACGGCUCUGCUGGCAUACCUCUGAUGGGAACCUGAUUACCUCCUGCAGAUUUUCUCUCCCUUCUCCUCGGUCCCUCAGGGAUCCUUCUGGAGGUAGAAGUCAACCCGUCUAACCAGCCUCCUCAAGAGGACCCCCAAAAUCUGGCAUUUAAAAUCCAGGGGAAAUCUCCCUCUUUCCUCCGCUGGAGAUCCUUGCGGGAGAAUGAUGUCCAGGGAGGUAGAUGGACUGUCAGCCCCACGAGGCAGGGUCUGUUGGUUUUACGCAUUGCUGCUUCCCCAGCUCUUAGCAGAAGGCCUGGUGCAUGGUGGGGCCACCAGAAGUGUUUGUGGCAGGCAGGAGCAGUGGAGAAAAACUAGGAUUUGGCAUGACACAGCUCUUGGUUCAAGACUGGUUCCUGUAACCUCCCUGAACCAGAGUGGUUUCAUCUGCACAGUGAGGACUCGAUGAGGCCGUGUAUGUAGAACUCUCUGCAUACGGUGGGCACAGAUAAAGGCUGGUGUUCUUCCUCCCCUAUGUCAGCCUCUCUCUUUUCUCCUUGGCAGCCCCGGAGAGCAGGUGGGUAUCUGUGGAUGGAUACACUUCCCUGGUCAUGGUUGGAAGUUCUGGGUGAUUGGGGAGGAUUGGCUGAAGGUGUGAUUCUAGGUGAUUCUGGAGGCAGUCACACACACUCUGGGACAUGCAGCCGGAUCUGCUGUGGGUGAGAUAAGGAACCUGCCAGUUGGUUCUAACAGCAGCACAGAGGGGCAGAGGAGAACAUUUCAGGACAGGGCAAGCACCUGUGCAAGGGCCCUGGGGCUAGUGGAAGCAGGUGAGUAGAGAGACUGGGGGUUGGGGUGGGAGGGUGUGGAGUGAUAUAGUUUGGAUGUGUGUCCCCUCCAGAUCUCAUGAAAUGUGCUCCCUAAUGUCGGAGGUGGGGCCUGGUGGGAGGUGUUGGAUCAUGGGGUGGGUCCCUCAUAGAUGGCUUAGUGCCAUCCCCUUGGUGAUGAGUGAGCUCUCGCUCUGUAGUUCACGUGACAGCUGGUUGUUUAAAAGGAACCAGGCACCUCCAUCUCUCUCUUGCACCCUCUCUCACCAUGUAACAUGCUGCCCCUCUUCACUUUCCUUUGUGAUUGGAAGCUUCCUGAGGCCUCACCGGAAGCUGAUACUGAUGCCAUGCUUCCUGCACCAUCUGCAGAACUGCACUAGAGCUGACCAUGUCCCAGGACUAUGUGGUUUGCAAGUACUAAUCCAUUUCAUCCUCAAGAAAAUGUCUAAGGUUUCAUGCCCAUUCUACAGAUGAGGAAACUGAGGCACGAAGAGCUUAAGAAAUGGGUCAUACCUUACACAGCUAGUUCACAGGCAGGUCUGGGAUUCAACCCCUCAGGGCUGUUUGGCUCCAGACUACACUCUUCAACACCAUGUCAGACCAUUUGAAUCCCCAGUUUACAGAUGAAGAAAUUGAGGCUCAGAGAGGUGAAGUGACUUGCCUAAAGUCACACAGCUACAAAGAGGUGAGUCUGCCUGAUUCCUGAACCCAAGCUCUUGACUCCAAUCUCAGUGAGGUGACCACUGGAAGCUUUGCAUUCUCCUCUUUCGACCCUCUCAGGAGGUGGGGCCUAUGAGUAGUGGUCUUGGGGUUCACCUGUCAUUGAGAGACAUCUGUCCUCUGCUGAAGGAUUAAGUCUUCAGAGUAGAUGAGAAGAAGGACAACCCCACAGGACCCUUAGGGGACAGUAGGGAGAUGGGCUGCCACCCUCUUGGGGUGGUAUUUUCUCUUUCUAAUGAUUUUUGACAGCUCUGACUGGUUUGGGUGAAGACAGGUUAAGUGCCUUCAUACCUGUGCAUUUUUUCCAGCUACACAGGGAGAGGCAGGCUGUGUUGAGUGUGUGAAUGGUGCCAUCAGACACAGCAUUCCUGCUGGGGUGCUCCCACCCAUCCACACUGCUCCCCGCCACCCCGGCUUACAACAGAACUUUGAAUCUAGUCUCUGUGCAAUUUCCCCCCGGCUUCUCUGGCUGAUCAAGUUGAAAUGAAAUUAGGGAACAUCUACCUUGAUAAAGGAAGGUAGGGAAGAGGAUAGAGGAGGUGAGUGAAGGCAGAAGGAACAACAAGUAACAUUUACAGUCGCUGUUUAUUAUUGGUAUUUACUGGGAACCAGGCACAUAUAUUAUCUCGUUAAUCCUUAUAUCCACCCUGAAAAGAAGGGGUUACUGUUAGCUCCAUUUUACAGAUGAAGAGACUGAGGGUCAGAGAGGCAGUCACCUGUUGACGGUCAUCCAGUUAGGGCAUUCCCAGGCUGCGAUUUCAGAGCAUCCUUCUGCGCAUCCAAACUCCUAUUUACUGGGGACGUACCAGGUGUCCAGAACUUGGGAGGUUUGAGAAUCUGUGAGUCAUGAAACAGGCAGACCAGAGCUGGCCACAUUGGCUGAGGGGAGGAAGGGUGGGAAGACAUAUCCAGAGAUACCUAUGGGCAAGUAAAGGAUUUCAAGCCACUGUGCUGAGUAUCUGUAUUAAUUCAGUCAAUCCACACACCCACCUGUGAGUUAGAAGCUAUUAGCACGCCCAUUUUACAGAUAAGAAAACUGAAGCCCCAUGAAGAGAAAGGAUCCUACUGCUAGUAAGAGAAAAGCUAGGAUUCAAAGCCCGUGAUUUUAAAACUGUACUGAGGCUGGGCACGCUGACUCAUGCCUGUAAUCCCAGCACGUUGGGAGGCCGAGAUGGGUGGAUCACCUGAGAUCAGGAGUUCCAGACCAGCCUGGCCAACAUGGCGAAACCCCAUCUCUACUAAAAAUACAAAAAUCAGCCAGGUGUGGUGGCACACCCCUGUAGUCCCAGCUACUCGGGAGGCUGAGGUGGAAGAAUCGUUUGAAUCUGGGAGGCAGAGUUUGCAGUGAGCCAAGAUCGUGCCACUGCACUCCAGCCUGGGUGACAGAGUGAGACUCCAUCUCAAAACAAAACAAAACAAAACAAAAUAAAACAACCAUACUGAGUUUCAGAAAGUGAUGGUUAGUGGUGAUGAUGAUCACAGGUAGACAGUAUCACAUGCCUGUUAUUGGUCAGACACUGUGCUAAGUGCUCUUAUAGAUCACCUAAGUUGAUCUAUAAGAGCAAUUGAUCUUACAGAUCAUCUAAAUUCCUCAUCAACCAAAAGGAGAUAGGUGCUGUGAUCCCGCCCCACCUCCUUCCCCAUGGAUUAGGAAAAUGGGGCUCAGAGAGGAGGAGUGACUUGUUCAUUUGGGAUUGGAACCAAUUAUCUCACUGGAGAGUUGGUGCAAUUGAUAAGGAAGCCACCUACCUCCAUUGAAAGAUUAUAUAUAUUUUGUGGCUAACCCUACUUCUAGAAAGACCCUGGGGAGCUUCAAAGAGGUGCUGGCUUUGGAGCUGGGUUUUGAAGAUGGAAAAGGUUUCUUCCCUCCCUCUUUCCAUCUUUCCUUCCUUCCAUAUUUGAGUAUGUGCUAUGUGCCAGGAGUGUAGCGGUGGAUGAGAGAAGCAUGCUUCUUGCCCUCAUGAACUCAUCUUAAGUCUGCAACAACACCACCAUUAUCCCCAUUUAGCAGGUGUGGUGACUGAGGUGCUGAUAACUUGGGCAAGGCCACCCGGCUAAUCCAAGAUGGAGACAGGACUGAAACUCAGUGCCAUCCCACCUUGAACCUUCUGUCUGAGAGGGUUGCCUGCAAGGAACUGAUGGGGAUGCCCCAGGAGGGAUGGGACCCCCAAAUGAGAGCAUGCAGAGUGGGUGCUGAUGAGAUGUGAGGAUCACCCAGGAGCACUGCAGUAGGGCCUGGGUAGGAGGUGGGAAGAGGAACAGUGAGGACAUCUCUGUAUUUGGAGAAGCCGCCAUGAUGGAGUCAGCCAACCUCACACCUAAUUCUGGGGUUCCCAGGAUAGUGGAAUUUCCUAACUCUUCUCUGCCCCGUUCCCUCACGGGAAGAAAUUUGCCAGAGAUCGUAAUAGGCAUGGGGGCAGACAGACCUGAAUUCAAAUGCUGGUUCUGGGUAAGUGAUUUAAAACUGCAGAUUUCUCAUCAAUGACAUGGGCAUAAUAACACCAGCUUUCAAGUGAGAGCCUUGGGGGCUACUGAAGGUAAGUUACACAUGCUUCGUAAACUGUAAAGUGUUGUGUGGAUGUGAGGUUCUGGUCGUUAUCUGUUCAUGUGUCUGUCUUCACUACACACUUUGAGCACCCAGUGAGCAAAGCCCUUGUCUGACUCCAUCCUGUAUACAGUUGGUGCUCAAUAAAUGUCAAAGGCAUGACCCGUUGUGUGGGUUAUAGUUCGUUUUGUUUAUUCCCUUUGGGAAUAGGUAGCUGACUGUGACCUAGUCUGGGACUUCAGGAGUGUUUCCAAGAUGAUUACUAAUAACAACAAGGUCAACAGCUUAUUUUAUGAAGCACUUUAUAUGUGUUUGGUUCAUCUCAUCCUCACAGCAACCCCAUGAUAUAUAUACUGGUGUCAUCCCUACUUUACAGAUGAGGAAAGGGAGAUGUUGUAUUACUUGCCCAAGGUCACACAGCACCUAAGUCGGGGAGGUGGGACUCAAAUCUCAGUUUGGGUCUUUCCGACUCCCAAAUGGGGCCCCCCCAACCACUGGGGGACCCUGCUGCCAAAGUUUCCUGUCCCCAGGCCUGGAUAGAAGACAGAACAAUGUGGAGUCUGUUGUCAUCUGGGCACUCACAUCCACUAAUAAUACAGUCAAUUGCUCCUUUCAAAUUACAGUAAAUGUUUCCCCCCUUUGAACAAAUCAUUUACCGCAACUGCAGAAAGAGUGUCCUGUUUACAUGCAGGGCCAAAGGAAUUCCAAUCUGAGUCUAAUUAUCGAUGCUGAAGCUUCUGUGGCCUUGGGAAAGAGCUGCCUAAUUGCACCAAUUAAUACCUGCCACUCGUAUGGGCUUCGUCAGGUUCAAGGUUUGGUUUUCUUCCUCUGCGGGUUGUGGGGACGAGACGGGUUAGUGCAGCCACUGCGGGUUCAGAUCUCCAGACCAUGGACUGGGUGCACAAAGGGAUUUUGUUUUCAGGCUAUUGCCAUUUUUGGAGGGGGCAGCUUUAUUUGGGGCCACCCAGGCACUUGGCCAGACCUCACCGUGGCAGGGACUGCCUUUUGCAGGAGAAUGAGGGGCCUGAGGGAUGAGGUUUCCAGGUUUCCUGUUGCGACUCUGACUCACACUGAGAUCCUCGGCAGGGCGGGUCUCCUGCUGGAGCCCCAGUUUCCCCAUGCAGAAAUGGGAAGAUUUAUGGGAUCAGAUGUAACAUCUGCAAUUGCAGUGCAAACCCAAUGAGGCUAGACAGGCUGAGGAAUUUUUACUAAAAACGGGAGGGCAGCAGUUGGGCGGCAGGUGACCCAGGCUCUAGCCUUGGCUCCACCUGUUACUUUCUGUGUAGCUUUAAAACAAUACCUUUGCCUCUCUGAACCUCAAUUUCCCCAGCUGCAAAAUGGGGAUGAUUCCACCUUCUCUCUCUGAUGCUUGUGUGGAAACCUUGCAAAGAACAUCUUGGCCCAUAAAUAUGGAGGCUGUGAUCAUCCCAUGGUGCUGAUGAGUUGCUUGAUGAAUUGCCGUAUUGGAAGAGGAAAACCGUCAGGAACUGGCUGGGUGGCAGAUAGGGUGCUGGGUGGGAGUGGGGAGGCAGAGAAAAGUUCAUGGGCUUUUACAUGAAACUGGGUUUGAAUUUUACCUCCAACUCUUCUGAGCUCUGUGGUCUUUGAUAAUAACAAUUACAAGAAUCUGUAUUGAUUUUUGCUGCGUAUCAGUCUCCCCACCUGUAUAAGGAGCUAAUGGUAACUUCUUCCAAGCAAACAGGUUGCUAGGAUUGGGCAAGAUUAGUUAUAUGAGACGGAAGGCCCAUAGUGUGGCACCUGAGAGCCACAUGGCCACAGAAGCUACAAUUCUACAUGAAUGGUGUGGAUUGGGAGACUCAGCCAUUGUCUCACCCUCCCAUUCAUUUGAACUCCAUAAGGACUGGUGGGAAACGUGGCUGUUUACUUUUCUAACAGGUAAAGCAGGGGAGUGGGUUGGGGCCAUUUUCAUUCUCCCACAGCCCCCUUUGCUGAAGAUUCCCAAUCUUUGAUUUCCCCAGCACCCCUGGGGUUUGCAGUCCCACCUGAGUGCGUUUGGGAUUGUUUUCUGAUGUGACAUAUUGUCACCGUGCAUUAUGUGUCAUCAGCCCCACAAAGCAGCGACAUCAGAGCCUGAUGCCACACGAUCGACAAAAAGAUGUGGGUCCCCCAGGGGGUCUCGGGCCUUGACAGGAGCCCUGCCACUUCCCCCCACCUGCCUUCCACGCGGAGCCCCUCUUCUGCUUCUUGGCAAAGCCUACAAGGCCCCAAGGGGGUGGGACUCUGCAGGCAGGGCCUUGGCUCACAUGGGGAUGAGCUUGAUGUCCUGGUGCCUGACACAUGCCUUGUAUGAGGUCCCCAAAUUAAAAGAAACAAAGCUCCUUUGUCAAAGGCAGCCUGAGCCUGGUGGGGAGACAUGGCAGAGCUCUGGAGUGCAGUGACUGACUGAUUUCCUCUAAUUACCGUUGGUUUAAUAUUUAUAGGGUUGGUGCCAGAGGGCUGCAAGGGAGGUAUUCAGCCCGAACGGCAGCUGUUGUAGGGCUUGGUGGAGGGCACUGAGCAGGGAAAUGUCUGCUUGCAUUUAGGGUCCCGGUGGAUCAGACCCAACUGGUCUUUCCCUGGCGCCUUCCCGAAGCACAGAAAGCAUCUAUUUAUGUAGUACAACCUAUGUGCCCUGUGCUGGGCUUAACCCCUGACAGCUUGGAGGCCCCCAGGGCCAAGUAGUUCAAGGUGGGGGCUCUGGAGUCAGAUGGACCUGAGUUUCUUAUUCAAGUUUGACAUAUUCCUGGCUGUGUGCUCUUGGGUAAUUGACCACACCUCUCUGAGCUUCAGUUCCCUUACCUAUAAAAUGGUGGUAACAAUAUGCCUCACUCAUAUGAUUGUUGUGAAGAUCUAAUGUAAAACACACAAGGUGCUUAACAUUGCUAGCACAUAGUUGUGUUCAAUAAGUAGUAGCCAUAUCUAUGCUUCAAUAGACAUAUACUUUGUAGGAUGGAACCUCUGUAUCAGCUAGCCAUGUUCUCAAUGAUGCUGUGUAACAAACUGGCCCAAAACUUGGUGGCUUAAAACAAUCACUGUUUAUUCUCAUAGAUUUGUGGUGUGGCUGAGGGUGGGUUCAUCUAGACUGGACUCUGACGGGUGGCUCUGCUGGUCUUAGCUGGACUUGCUCAAGCAGCUGGGGCUCAACUCAAUGGCUGGACUCUCUGUAUAACUCUCUCCUACUUCUGGAACUAGCACUGACCUCAACAUGUUCUUCUUUUGGCCUUGGCUCGGGUGUGGAACAUUAUUAUUUCUGAAUAGAUAUCGAAUCUAUCCUUCUCCCUAGCAUUUCUGUGGGGGAGAAAUUAUCAUUCCCAUUUUCUUGAUGGGGAAACAGAUUCUGAGAUAAGAAGCCACUGAUGGUGGAGCUAAGAUCUGAACAUUGAAAAGACCACAUUCUUCUCAACCACCAGAUUCUCUGAGCCACCUUCAAUUACAAUAGCAGGUACCAUUUAUUAAACACCUACUAUAUGCCAAGUGCUUUGAAUAAAUUAUCUUUUAUCCAAAGACAACCUUUGGUACUGACAUGCCCAUUUUACAGAUGGGAAAGCUGAGGCUCAGGAGCUGAAUACAUUGUCUAAGAUCUCAUAAGGAAUAAGUAAGUGACAGACUCAAGACUGGAACACACGGCCAGGAGUGGUGGCUCAUGCCUGUCAUCCCAGCACUUUGGGAGGGCUGAGGCAGGAGGAUUGCUUUAGCCCAGGAGUUUAAGACUAGCAUGGACAAGAUAGUGAGACCUAGGUCUCUAUCUUGAAAAUAAAAAUUAAAAAAAGUUUAAAAAAGAUUAGAAUGCAGAUCUCUCUAACCCCAUGCCAACAUGCCUUUGUAUUUGAGGUUCCCUUUGCCCGAACUGUCCUGGUCUCUCUUUGUCUCUGUCGCUUUCUGGAACCAGACUAUAUAUUCAUGACAAUAAUAAGUGUUCAGUAAAUUAUAAUGAAUAAUAGAUACCAUGUUUAUAAACUGAGGUGGUUCCAUCCCCAUUUUAAGGAUGGGGAAACGGAAUCACCAAGAAGUGAGGUCUCUUGCCCAGGUCACAGAGCCAGAAGUGGUUCUGCAGCACAGAAAUAGCCCUUGAACUCUGCUCUGCAAUGCUGAGCUAUUAAGAUGGAGGUAAGUUGCUGUGUGUUGUGUAAGGACUUGGCUCUCUCUAGCUUCCCUUGCUCCUCCUUUUGGCCUGCCUACUCCCCAUCUGAUUAAUUGAUACCUUUCUGCACUGAGGUAUCUGCCUCCAACUGGCUGUCCUGUCUCCCACGCCUUUCCCUCUUCCAUGAAAGCCUGCUUCUUCCAUGUCCCAUUGCUUGUGGUCUUGCUGGGGGCAGGAGCUUAUCUGACAAGGUAAUGUGAGCCACCUUGGGGUGCAGGGCUGAGGAUGGCAUCUCUUAUGAACUUCUCUCCUGACCCCCAUGGAGCUAAACUGGGUGGAUGUUCCCCUCCAGCUCCCUGAGCCUUGGUUCCCUCAUCUGCAAGAUGGGGAGAAACGUAGCUACUCAGAGGGUUGCUGUUAGUGUCAAAUGUGCAUGCAACUGUUUUUAGUACAGUGUCUGGCAAAGAGUAAGUGCUCAAUAAAUGUAAGCUAUUGUUAUUGUCAGUCAGGCCCUACAAUAUUUUUUUCACUUGGAGGAAAAUAAAAAAAGCUAAAAAUUAUGGAAGCCAGCCGGCUGAAGUUCCUGAGCCAUCAUUCUGCAGCCUGAGAAAUUAUCUAAACUCCGUCACCGAUUCAGGGAUGCAGAGAGGAGGCAGAGACUCUAGAGAGGAAUGGUGCCAAUGUUCUGUUCAACACCCUUUUAUUUUUUACAAGCUGAAGGUUCAAAGCUGCCCAGGGGUGCUGUCCUAGCCACACGGCCCAUUACUGAGGGGCUGAGGCCAUUCUUGUCAGUUUCCUCUUUCUCUCAUGCCCCCUUGGGCUGUAGUUGGGGCUCUGUGUGGUGUCCCAGGGAAUAGCAGCAGAGCUCUCCCUGAGUCGAGAGAGAGCCAGAGAAAACUGCCAAAGCAAUUCUCAGCAAAAUCCCUAGGGAUGUGUGUCAAGGACAAAAUAGUGUGUCCCAUGGGUAAAUACAGUUAACACAGCUGCAAAACAGAAUUUAUUUCUUGUUUGAGAUAUCAUUUUUAAAGUAUGGCAUAGGGAGAGCUUUAAAUAUGAAAUUAUAGCUGGCAAUAAAAGAACCUCAUAGGCACUGUAUUCAAAUUAUGCUGUAGUAAUAGGCCAAGUUCAUAAAUAAACAUUGCUUGUUAACCCUUUGCUGAGCGCCGUGGGCCAGGUGGCUGGGACAAGGUUGGGACAAGGUUGGGACAGGGCUGGGAGAGGCAGAAAUGGCAUGACCUUCCAAGUGUCCUUCGGGCUGCCCCCUCCAACUUUCUCCACCCAGCCUCUUCAUUCUGGUGUUAAAGAUCAACAGAUUAUUCUCUGAUAAAAUGAGAGGCCUGGACUAUCUACUGGCUUUGCAGAAAUGUACCACCCAGACCUCUGAGCUGGGAGUAUUUUAGGAUCUGAAUUAAAUAGGUCCAUCCUAAAGCUCCCUGCAUUUCUGACCUCCU
rnacentral:lncRNA from 1 species